GUGAAUCAUCGAAUCUUUGAACGCACAUUGCGCUCCCUGGUAUUCCGGGGAGCAUGCCCGUUUCAGAAUCAUUUUAAUAUCUCACCAAGUUAUGGGUGCAAGCUUAUAGCAAGGUGGAUUUUGGAUGUUUUGUCUCUGUACAAUCAUCUUAAAGUGAUCGUAUGUACUUCAGUUGCUAUGGCAGUUGGAUACCAAAGUGCAACAGAUUUUAUCUUUAUGCUUUAGUAUUUUAUUGAAAUCAACAGAAGUGUAUACUUGCUGGCUUACAGAUGUUAUGCAAAUGCAUGACUUCUGAUAACU
rnacentral:misc_RNA from 1 species